rnacentral:misc_RNA from 1 species
GAUGAAGAACGUAGCGAAAUGCGAUAAGUAAUGUGAAUUGCAGAAUUCAGUGAAUCAUCGAAUCUUUGAACGCACAUUGCGCCCCCUGGUAUUCCGGGGGGCAUGCCUGUUCGAGCGUCAUUUCACCACUCAAGCCUCGCUUGGUAUUGGGCAACGCGGUCCGCCGCGUGCCUCAAAUCGACCGGCUGGGUCUUCUGUCCCCUAAGCGUUGUGGAAACUAUUCGCUAAAGGGUGUUCGGGAGGCUACACCGUAAAACAACCCCAUUUCUAAGGUUGACCUCGGAUCAGGUAGGGAUACCCGCUGAACUUGAGCAUAUCAAUAAGCGGAGGA